rnacentral:rRNA from 1 species
AACGAACGCUGGCGGCAGGCUUAACACAUGCAAGUCGAACGCUCGGAGCAAUCCGGGAGUGGCAGACGGGUGAGUAACACGUGGGAACGUACCCUUUGGUUCGGAAUAACGCAGGGAAACUUGCGCUAAUACCGGAUACGCCCUUUUGGGGAAAGGCUUGCUGCCGAAGGAUCGGCCCGCGUCCGAUUAGCUUGUUGGUGAGGUAACGGCUCACCAAGGCAUCGAUCGGUAGCUGGUCUGAGAGGAUGACCAGCCACAUUGGGACUGAGACACGGCCCAAACUCCUACGGGAGGCAGCAGUGGGGAAUAUUGGACAAUGGGCGCAAGCCUGAUCCAGCCAUGCCGCGUGAGUGAUGACGGCCUUAGGGUUGUAAAGCUCUUUUACCUGGGAAGAUCAUGACGGUACCAGGAGAAUAAGCCCCGGCUAACUUCGUGCCAGCAGCCGCGGUAACAC